AUGGCCUGGGCUCUGCUCCUUGUCACCCUCCUCACUCAGGGCACAGGGUCCUGGGCCCAGUCUGGCCUGACUCAGCCUCCCUCAGUGUCCGGGAAUCCGGGACAGACAGUCACCAUCUCCUGUGCUGGAACCAGCAAUGACAUAGGGAAAUAUAAUGUUGUCAGCUGGUACCAACAGCGCCCGGGCACGGCCCCCAAAACUCUGAUUUAUGAGGUCAAUAAACGGCCCUCAGGGAUCCCUGACCGUUCCUCUGGCUCCAAGUCUGGCAACACGGCCUCCCUGACCAUCUCUGGGCUCCAGGCUGAGGACGAGGCUGAUUAUUACUGUAGCUCAGAUACAACAAAGUUGAGUCCCAGCCUUGUAGUGAAGAAGGUGGUUGGGAAAGAACUGGAUGCUGCAGACGCCUCCCCACCCCCAGCGGUAGAGGUCUUUCCACCUCUGUCUGGGGCGAUUGACCUUGUAUUGCCCAAGGAAAAGGUCACGGCCACCUUGAGGAAGCUGCCACGGUCCUGGGCCCAGUCUGGCCUGACUCAGCCUCCCUCAUUGUCCGGGAAUCGGGGACAGACGGUCACCAUCUCCUGUGCUGGAACCAGCAGUGACAUAGGGAAAUAUGACGCUGUUGGCUGGUACCAACUGCGCCCAGGCACGGCCUCCAAAACCCAGAUUUAUUAG